UAUUUCUGAGAUCUUCUGAUAACACUGUCUGGACUGGAAAACAGAAGCAAGACCUUGAAGAGCGGCAGGGGAUGAGGAAAGUAGAACUGGAGAGGCUCAAGAUCAAAUGAACAAUAUAAAAGGCCAUUAAUGGAUUUUCUCACUGCUGGUCCAUUCUCCUUUGAGCAUGUGUCACUCUUCAGUAAGAUCUCCUCUUAAAUGAAUCCUGCUUUCAGACCAAGAUUUAUUUCAAUGCACAGCAAGCAUUCUACCAAGAAAGAAAUGAUUCUGAUCCUAAUUGAAAACAGCUUCUCUACCUUACUUUCCUUGACAAGGAACAUCAGUCU